CCGGUUCCACCAGGACUGAAGGAAGCGCGUCCAGCUGGGGCUUUGUCGCAUCUGCGUCGCCGUGCCCGCGCUGUUCGGGCGAGGAAGUCCCUUCGGGGUGGGAGGAGGAAAGGGUUAUGUGAAUUAGCUUAUCCUGGCACCUCGAGCCUGGCCCCUCCGCUUCCGGAAUCCCACCGCCAAGUGAGAUCACGGGGGAGAUAAAGACAAUAGCUGGCAGCAGGCCCUGUACCGAGAUCCCAGACCCUCCAUGCCGGGGGCGGGAAGAGAGGAUGCCUAGGACCCUGUAAGCGCCAGAGCUGGAAAUCUGGCACCUGGAAGAUGGGACCGUAAUUCGAAAAUUAAAGAAGGGGUUCCGAAAUUGAGGUCCAGGAACCCGGAUAUCCGAAAGAGGUCGGUCAGGAGCACAGAUGCCAGCAUGCCCCGCGCUCAAAGGAUUUGGGGAACGCAGGAGCCUUGGCCUUCUGGAGCGGGGUCUGGGUUACAGAUCCCGAAGUGCCCUGGGACUCGGGAAAGGACAGGCUGGGGGGAGGAGUCCCGAGACCGCAAAUCCCGACAUGCAGUGGGACUCGAAUGGGACAGCCCAGUGGGAGGAGCCCCGGGAGUCUAGGUCCCGGCAUGCCCCGGGACUGCGGUGCCUUGUGCCCCCCGGCCGGAGCUCACCUUGAAGGAGCCGUGGAACUCGUCGCUCAUCCUCCGGAGCUCGCGGCCAUAUCGCCGUGCAGCCCAGAGGUUGGGGGGCGCCGAGCGCGAGCGGCCCCGGAAGGGGCUGGGCUCCUCCUCCUCCGUCCCUUCUUCAUCCUCCGUCCCCGCGGAGUAGGAGCUGUGGCGACUCCGGGUCUCCACAGCCCCAGUGCCUGCAGAGAAGGAGACCUUGGGCCCCCAGAGAACAAGAGCCUGUCAGCAGCGUGUCUGUACCUCUCACAGCACCCACUUUGGAGAAAUUGUCCAGAAAGGUCUGUUGACUUUAGAUGAGAAGACAGAGGUUUAAGAGAGGUGAAGACUUGCGCAGGGUCCCACAGCUGUGAAGCUCUGAGGCUAGAAGUCCCUAGAGGUUUGUUGGAAUCCAGAGUCCAGUGAUUAUCCAUCGAGCUACACUUCUUCCCUUGUCCAGCUGCCCUUCAACUCCCUGCACCUGUGCCCUCACCUCCCUGUGGGGAUAAACGUAGUCCUUACUACCAGUGACUGCAUGAGGGUCACAUAAAGAGCUGGAAAGUGCUUUGUAAGCUGAAAGGGCGUGGUGGAUCAUUAUGCAAAGAGGUGUGUCCUGAGUUUGACCGACCUAUGUACUGUGUGCCAUCUCCCGAACUCCUGCCAACCCCACCCGCAUACGCAGUCCAGCAAAGACCUAGAACACUCCCAGGAGCAAAAUCCAGAGCUAAGUAUAGAGUGAAAGACAGGCAUGGAAGAAGUGCAGGGGGCCAGCGUCCACAGGGAGGCGUUUUGGAGAAAGUAAGAUCUAGACCAGGUCUUGAAGCCAGGGGUAACUGUCUCAUCCCCUCCCAAAAGGCCUGUGGGUCAGCUCCAGGGCUGCUGGGCCUCCAAGGGUCCCAUCUCCAGACACAUGGCUGAGAAAGCCAAAAAGGGAAGAGGGGGCUGGAUCCAGAAAGGCCUAGGCUAAGCGGGUGGUCGGAGCUCCUGGGCGUCACCAAAGCCUGAGGUCAGGUAGGUAGGGAGACCAUAAAGCCUUUGAGGAGUGAGUUGGCAGUGGGGAACGGGCAGCUAAGUCAGCAGCUGGGAUUGGGGGUGGGGGCUAAGGAGCUGAGAGCAGCAAGAGCCCUGAUGAGAAUAGGCCCAUCUGCAGAGCGCUGACCAGUUCCAUGAGGCAUGGGCAGCAGGGCCGGGGUCCCCACCACCACCUUCCUGCUUUGUGACCUGGGGCCUUUUCUUUAAUCCCUUGGGGCCUCAGUGUAGUCCUCUGUGAGAUGGACCCCAGACCCCAGGACCUCCACGAGAACAAAUGACACAGGGAGAGCACCCAAUUCUGCAUUUUUCAUGUCCUGCAGGCUCCCAGCUUCCCAGUGAAGCAGAGGCCAAGUUCUCCCUAUUUCACACAUGAGGAAGUAGAAGCACAGAGAGGUUAGGAACUUGCCCAGGGUCGCACAGCUGGUACACCUUGCCCGGUCACUUAAAUGCUCAGGAACCAUCAGCUAUUAUUUUCCUUUACCAGCACUAAGAAUACACACACCUCCACACUUGCCAGAUGCAAGGCCCAAGGGUCAGAAGAUGAGUGAUUGGCAGGUGGGCACUGCACCCUUGCCUAGGAAUCAGAGCAAGCAGAAGAGCACUCGCUGUGUCAGGUUGGAAGUGCGCUUCGUGUGUAUCAAUUCCUUACGUCCUCAUCACAUCCUAUGAAGGAGGUUACUCCCUGUCCCCAUUUUACAGAGGAGAAAACUAAGGCACAGAGAGGGUAAAUAACUUGCCCAAGGUCACACAGCUAGUAGAUGGCAGAGCUGGGAUUCCAACCCAACCAGUCUGGCUCCUGUGCCUGUGUGCUUAACUCUCAUGCCCCUGGCUCCCCCCAGCAGCACCACGGGCCACCUUGGGGGCUCAGGUCUGGGGAGGCACCCCUGGUGCUUCUUUAAGUGCCAGCUCUACCAGCGGCCUACCCUAAGGAGUGGGGAUUUUUACCAAAGCCAUGGAUUUAGCAACGCCAAGCCAGCCAUUGUCAAAAUGACACUCCUAAGUGUAAACUGAACUUUUAAGUGUCCUUCUGUUUACUAGAAAAAAAUCUGAGGGAUUUUCUGUGAACUCCCAGGGGGAAGUGGAUAUGCCCCUCCCACCCUAUGCAUCCAACCUUCAAUCAGCUCUCACCCCUACAUGCCCCAGGGGCACGGCAGAGGUGGCCUCUCCCAGUUUGGGGAAGGUAAGGGUGAGAGAUGGGCGUGGCUCCUGUCUGGUUGUGAGCAUGGGUGGGUACCCAGGCCUGCCCACUCACACCAUCCUUCCAGAGAGCCUGCCUGGGGCUGGGGUGGGGAAUUGGGAGGGGCCUAGGGCUGGAGGUGCCCCGAGGCCCACCACCAGGCUUUAAGUUCUUUACCCAUUGGGCUUCUGGGUACGUGCAUGGGGCUGGACACAUCCAUGUUCAUGCUUCUGUGAGCAUCCUUGCACACUUCAUUAAAACAGUGAUGUUCCAGACAGUUUGAGGCAGUGAGGCUUUGCCAUCAGGCAGGGCUGGGUUUGGAUCCUGCUCUACCACACGUGGGUUCACUUACUGCUCGCCCCCAGCAGGAGAGCAGCGUGGCACUCCUCCCUGAGCAGGUGCGCUGCCUGUCGUGUCUUGGCCGAGGCUUCCUGUGUCCCCAAAGCCGUUUGGGGUACAAAAGCCCCUUACCGUCCUGUAGAGAACAUACCCCCACCUUGCUCAGAGCUGAGGAAAUCAGAAAACACUAAAGCAGAGGCUGGCAAAUGUUUUCUGUAAAGGGCCACAUAGUAAAUACUUUGGGCAUUGCAGGCCACACAGUCUCUGUCACAGCUACUCAGCAUUGCAGUCAUAGCUUGAAAGAAGCCAGAAACAAUAUAUACAUGGCUGUGCAUUGCCGUAUUCCACCAAAAUUGUAUUUGGGACACUGAAAUAAGAUAUUCUUCU